rnacentral:rRNA from 1 species
UACAGAGGUCCCGAGCGUUGUUCGGAUUCACUGGGCGUAAAGGGUGCGCAGGUGGGUUGGCAAGUUUGAUGUGAAAUCCCGGGGCUUAACCCUGGAAUUGCAUUGAAUACUGGGAGACUAGAGUACUGGAGAGGAAACUGGAAUUUACGGUGUAGCAGUGAAAUGCGUAGAGAUCGUAAGGAAGACCAGUGGCGAAGGCGAGUUUCUGGACAGUAACUGACGCUGAGGCACGAAGGCCAGGGGAGCAAACGGG